GUCUGAGAAACUUUCUCUUAGAUCACCAGUCAGUAGGGUACCAGCAUCUGCCGAUGCCAACCAAAAGGCAUGAGUCACAGCGGACAGCUUUAGAAAACACAUUUCCUUCCACUGUUAGCAAUGCAUGACUCACUAGACCUCUCCAGAUUCUCCACUCCACAAAUGACUCGAGAAGUCUACCAAGGACAGAGCACAAACCUUUCUCUCUUCUCCUGCCAGGAUUUCUCAUUUCAAUUAUCACUGACUUGUUGACUUACUUCAAAGACAGUAUACAUCUUGGUCUGUUCUCUGUCCUCUCUCAAAAACUGGUGGUGUGUGAUUUACCUAAAGAUGGCUCCUGAAGGGCUGCAGGAGAACAGAGAUUGAACAUUAUAGUUCAUGCCCAAAGCAGUCGUCAACUGGUCAACUUUUGCUACUUCGGAAACUGAGCUGUGAGACUUUAAAUACUUGGUGCUACAUUUGAAUCCUGAAUACCUGAGUGCAACCCCCAGCCAGCUGGAAUAGAGACUUUCAAUGGCUGUAAACUCUGAGUGGUCUCCUCUGUGUUUCCUCGGAACCUUGGAGGAAGAAUUUGACACAGAUGCGCUCAGUUACUUCUUCUGAGGAUGUUGAACAGUUAUGAGUCUCUUCAUUAACCACCACCUUCUGCACUAAGAAGUUUCUCUGACCAAGGUUGAGAGCAGGGAAGCCUGAAAAGACUGUUUACAAGUGAUUUAUGGGUCAAGUGCUUUUUUGUGGAACAACAACAACAACAAAAAAGUGGAUCCUGGCUAUGGAUGAAACUAUCGUAUAUUGGACAUUGAUUCAAAGCAUAUACUGCCUUCUGGGGAACCCUGUCCCAGCCCUACAGUCGAAUUGGAGAUGAAACUGCGUCUUCAAAAGAUCAUUCCAUUUUUCUAUCAAGCCAGCUGACUCAGGAUGGUGGGAAACAUGGUAAGACCAGUGAAUUCAGUGAUACUGGAGUCAUUGUUGCAUUUCUCUGACUGUGGAGUGAGUUCCUUGGUCAGAAGCAAUACUGUGUGGAAUACUAUGAGAGUGGAUCAGGCAUUCUGUAAGUCCAAGGAUUGUGGUUUUGGCAGAAGCAUUAUGUUCAGGAAAGGCAAAUCCGUAACCAGAAUAAAUACUGCAGUAAG
rnacentral:lncRNA from 1 species